AUACCUUUCUCGGCCUUUUGGCUAAGAUCAAGUGUAGUAUCUGUUCUUAUCAGUUUAAUAUCUGAUACGUGAACCAUUGGUUUACAUGAUAUUAAAUUUAUUUUUUAGGGAGAGGACCCUUCAUUGUAGCUUGCUACUGGUGUGUCCUCGUGCAUCGCCCCUGCCUUGCACUACAGCAUGGGGCAGGUGCAUCCCAC